rnacentral:lncRNA from 1 species
UUUUUUUUUUUUUUCUUUUUUUGCCUCCCCAGUUUCUCCUAGGCUCUCAUGUAUUUAAUGAUGUUGACUUAACAGGUAAGUACUACCUGAUUCUUUGCCUUGCUCACCUUAAUGUGAGCUUUAGUAAAAUAAAAUAUUUAUUUAUUUAUUUGUCUUUUUGCCUUUUCUAGGGCUGCUCCUGUGGCAUAUGGAGAUUCCCAGGCUAGGGGUCUAAUCGGAACUGUAGCCGCCAGCCCACACCAGAGCCACAGCAACACCAGAUCCGAGCCGCGUCUGCAACGUAUACCACAGCUCACGGCAAUGCCAGAUCCUUAACCCACUGAGCAAGGCCAGGGAUCGAACCCGCAACCUCAUGGUUCCUAGUCGGAUUCAUUAACCGCUGUGCCACAAUGGGAAAUAUAUAAUCAAGUGUGAGUAUUGGACAAUGGAGAUUCCCAUGAUAUAUUUUAUUUACGUUUUGGUCAAAUGGAUGUGUUGCUUAAUCUGUGACAUUAGAUCAGAAGAUAGAAGCUGUCAGAACAAACCUUUCUUAUUUCUUUCUUGUUAAUGGUUCCCAUCUAGACAUAUGAGUCAUUUGGAGAAGGAUUAAUGGCCACAUGAGCAUUAACAUUAAUUGUAAGCCUAGUCACCUGAUGAAGUGCUUCUCUGCUAAGUAUCAGAAUAAGCAGAUAAAAUUGAAAACUAACCCACAUGGAUUUCUUGGUAUUAAAAUGUACAGAUUUAAUCAUCUAUUUCUUAAAUUUGGCACUAGUUAAGGAUUAUUAUUUGUUUGUUUCAUUUUGUUUUAAUUAGAAUUUAACUUGAGGGACUAUGUCCAUGAAAUAGAACUGCUUCUCAGUCGUCAUCUUGCAAUGUUAUGUAGUUCACAGCAUAGCCAUCCCAACCCCUCUUCUUUCAGCUUGGAAAACAGAUUCAUUUUUUUGUGUGUUCAUAAAUAAUUUUGGUACUUUAAUAAUAUUUGGUGCUUUUUGAUUUUAGGAUCUGAUUUAAAAUAAAUCUAAUUUAUUAAAUAUUUAGGGUGCUUGCACAGUUGUUUGUGAAUCAGGAAUUAGUAGUAUAUCCAUGGAGGAAUAAAUCAAGGCAUGGGAGGAAAGUCUAUGGGCUGUUUUAAUGUUAAGAAGAGGUGCCUUUAUAGCUUUCAAAAGUGUUUGAAAAUUAAAUGUUUGAUUUAUAAGGGCUGUGUACACACAGGGCUCAAAUUAUUCAUGUAUCAUUUGGAAAAUGUAAAAUGCUUAAUGUUCUGACAUUAUGUGAUAAUUGCUAUUCUAAUAUAUAGUGUCUACUAAAUCUUUCUGGGAGCGGGUGAGGGUGGCAUUGAUAUACAGGAGCACAUGCUUUGUGUGCUAGUAAAUCAUUCUUCCAUUGAAUUAAGGCCAAGGAGGGAGCAGCAAGUAGAACUUAAAGUGAUAUUACAGUAUCUGGUAUUGUUCUAAUCAAGAAAUAUGCAGCAGUACUAGUGAAAAAUGGAUAUAAAAACAAAAAUCCACUAAGGAGAAAAUGCAAUCAGAGAUUUAUCAGUGAUACUUUUUGUAAGGUUUCCAGGAAUCAUAGUCAUAGUCAUCAUUCAGAUGACCGAAGAGUUGCUUUUCAAGGUUGAUGUCAUCUCCAUUCUCUUUUGCAUUGGUACCCCUCUGAUGACACGCAUUAGAAUCACUGCUCUCUAUGGGUGCUUAUUCAUUAAUGAGUCAGAGUCCUCCUGGCUCCAGGAUCAACCAGCUGGGUGAACUUGAAUUUGUGGGUCCACUCUUUAAGCUUCUGUAAUAGUUGUAGCUACCUUGUAGAAUUACUACAAGUAAAUGAGAUAAUUCAUGCCCAGCAUCUAGCAGAGGGCCUGGCACACGGUUGUCACUUGACGUUGUUGCUAUCACUGUUUACCUUCUGCAGAUACCUGCCCACAGUUAUUUUAACAAAGAGUGACGAGGUGCAUUGUAAAAAGGACUAGGGAAAGACUUAAGGGAGGACUGCAAAAUUGGUGACUUUAUCCUCACAAAGCCAACAUAGCAAAAUAGAACUCUCCUAGUGGGCCUAAGGAUAUAAGAGGCCCAAACCUAACGUGUGUAGGAGCUGGUUGGCUAACUUCAGUUUUUCUUUUUGAGUUGUUGAAAGGAGCUCCAGAUACACUUUUUAAAAAAUGAAUUCUAGCCUGUAUUGGAGAACUCAGUUUCUGUCCUUGACAUUAAUGUACAGGGGAGGAGGAAGUGCUCCUUACCUAUGAGCACUCUCUUUUCUUUCCUGGGAAUCAGAAGUCACAGAGACAGGCAGUACAUCCCAGUUGAGGGAGGUGAUAAAUGAAUGUGUAUUGGGGGUGUAAAGGUGAGGAAUGGGAGGGGACAAACUAGGCCUGAUACUCUGUGUCAGUGUUAGGAGAAUGAAUUCAUUAAGCAUCUUCAAAAGCCAACUCCAUAAAGAGUAUUUAUUAUUUGCAAUAUGGGUGAAAACCAGGAAUGGGAGAAAAAAAAAUCAUGGAUUCCAUGCUUUUGGAUCUCAUUAUCUAAUGGCCGUAGGCACUGAGGGGUUCCAGGAGGGAGACCAUCACACACACACACACACACACACACACACACAUACACACACACACACACGGGAAAUGACCCACCUCUGUAUGGGGAAGGUCAUGACACCACUACUCACAUCCAUCUAGAUUUCCUUGUGCUCCUUGCCUCCUCUUUGUCACCAGGAUUGCUGAAGCCUUAGCUUGUUGGCCUGUGCUGCUGCAAGAGGGAGAGAGACCCCAGACUGCAGUGGAGCUAAGGUCACUAGCAGAUGUCUUGAAACAGUGGUUCUCAAGCUUUUUAUCUGCAGGACCCAUUUUCAUGCUUAAAACUUAUUGAGGACCUUGGAGAGCUCUUGUUUAUGUGUUGUAUCUAUUGAGAUUUACCGUGUUAGAAAUUAAACUUUAUUAAUUCACUUAAAAUAGCACCAAUAAAUUUGUACUUAUUAACAUUAUUAACAUAGUUUAACAAAAUAAUUAUAUUUUUGAAACAAAAUUAGAAGAGUGGCAUUGUUUCCCAAAUCUCUUUUGAUGUCUGUCUUAAUAGAACACAACUGGGUUCUUAGAUCAUCUUCUGAACUCAGUCCAUUGUAAUCUCACACAUUAAAUUGGCUAUGGAAGGCUCUACUAUACACUCGUGAGAGAAUGUGAAUGCAAAAGGCAAAUAAACAUCUUGGUGUUAACAUGAAAAUAGCUUUGACCUCAUAGACCCCCAUGAUGAAGGCUAGAAAAACUCUCCUUUAGUGGAGAAAGGGGGCUAUCAUCUCCUAGUUUAGGUACCAACAGGAAGCUGGCAGGCAGUGUCAGGGAUCAGAAGUAGGGUUUAGAUUCACAGCCCUGACUCUGCCACUUACUUACUAGCUCUGCGACCUUGGAGUCCUUAUGCCUCAGUUUUUCCAUCUUUAAAAUGGAAUUCGUCAUAGGACUUAUACCUUCAAUGGCUAUUGUGAGUCUUAGUGAUAUAAUAUAAGUGAAGUGUUUAGCUAAUAGUAAGUGCUCAAUAUUAGCUUUGUUUCUUUGGUUUUUAUUACUUUUAAGGUGCCAAUCCAUUAUGAACCUGUUUCUACAUCUACCAAGUGAGGCUGGUCUGCAUGGGCCCAAAGAUCUCAUUUAGCUCUAACAUUCUGUGACUUUGCUCCAAAGCCUUCCUUUCCUUUCCCAUGUUAAGGGUGUGUGUGCACGCACGCAUGCAUGAGAUGUAUACAAUUCUACUGGUAAGAAAAGGACUUAGUUUUCCAUUGUUUUUAAUAAUUAACCAUCCUUCUCUCUCUUCUCACUCCUGCUUAUAAAUCUGUUAAAAUCUUUCAAGGGCUUUCAGAAUAAAACUUGGUGAAAAAAUUGUUGUUUGUUUGGGAAAAAUUAAAUUUAGCUCUUUCAAUUGGAGCCAAUAAAGAUAACAGAGCAAACAGAAAUUUAAAAAUUUGUUUCCAGGUCCCAUGGUGUUUUCAGGUCAAAGUCAUAAUAGGGUUUAUCUCAUGUCUAAAUUUAAUUGAAGGGUAAAUGAAACGAUGCUGUGAGAUCUUGCUGACUCCUCAGUUUACAAAAAUACACAGAGUAGGUAAUAGACUUUUAAUGAAAGAGGAAGGGGAAGGAGCCUGGAUUCACAGAACGGGGCAGAGGAGAGAAAACAGGGGUGAAAAAGCAUUUUGAAAAGGCAAACGUUAGGCCUGCAGUUGAUUGAGGACCCAGAUCAAAAGAAAUCAAUAUAAAUGCCUUGGUUUAUUUUUUCCCCCUCCAUUUUCACUUAAGUACUAGUCUCUAAUACAAUGAAAAGUAGGCACAAAGCAUAUUAGAAAGGAGAUAAGACGAAUGGUCUCAGAAGUAACAGGAAGUACAGCACGUGUUGCGUGCUGCUGAAUUUAAAUUUACCAGAGCCUUGCUACAGAGCCCUAAGAGAGGGCAUGAAGAUUUGCAUGUAAGGACUUUAUUAAAGGGGGAUUUUUAGAAGAAAUCUUGAGAUCACAGCUAAAGCAUUACUGCUUGCCAUGGGCUUGCAGGGACAGUAUCACAGCAAGGCUUGACUUUGGUGUGAAAAAUGUGCUAGAAUUCAAAGCAUAGAAACCUAUGUUGAUAGCUAGAAUUAAUAUCAUGAUGACAAACAUCAUGGAAUAAUGCUAAAAUUUUCUCCUUAGAGGUGACUGUCAGGAUAGCAGCUUUAGAAUUUAGAGAGAGAAUUGUUUACCUUAUAUGAAAUGAUAUUGGUAAUUUUGAUACUAUUGAUAUUACUAGAGUGAGGCUUAAUGUCAACUUUUCCAUCAAAAGCCAUUUGAUACAAUAAUGGAAAGUAUGGGGUCUUGCAGGGUGAGAAACAAGCUCAGAUUGAACCAACAAACUGCUUCUAACAAAGAGGGAUGUGUUUGUGCUCAAAGGAGAAGGAUAAUAGCUAUCAUCAGAAAGAUUAGGAGCUCUUUUACUUGCGGUAAUCACUGGAAAUAUGAAUAAUAUUUUUCAAAAAUAUGUAGAUCGGAAGGAGCCAAAUCUGAUUUCUUGCCAUUUGCAACCUGAAAAAAUAAUCACUUGACCUUAUCCCAUAUGGAACUCGAAGACAUCCAUUUGCAAUUUAUUUUUUCAUCAAAGCUGUUACCUGCCUGAGUUUCUCAUCCACUCUGGAAAGUAUAUGGAAAAAGUCCUAACAUAGCAGAGGGGCAAGAUGUACCCCAUGCAUCCUUUUUGUGCUGAGCAGAUAUGUUUCCAAUUCUGGCCAAGGCAGUUUUCCUGAGUCGGAGACACUAAAUCUCUGGCUGAGGCUUUCAGAGAGCUGAGAUGUGGUUCUGUGGUUACCUGGUGCUCUGGCAGGUAAGUGCCCUGAUGGCCGUGUCUGGGAUCCUGCAUCCAGGUGGGGGCCUAUCAGAAUGGCAAGGGGGAUGACGGCAAGAAAUGCAGGAACUACUUUUUUUCUGAAGGACUGUGUGAGUUGACAUGCAGGGCAGACAGACUUCUGUUGAUGCAAUUAGAAGGUGUCUAGCAGAGUUCCCACUGUGGCUCAACAGGUUAAGAACCUGGUCCAUGAGGAUGUGGGUUUGAUCCCUGGCCUCACUCAGUGGAUAAAGGAUCCGGUGUUGCCACAAGCUGCAGUGUGGGUUGCAGAUGCAAUUUAGAUCUGCUGUUGCCAUGGCUGUAGCAUAGGCCUUAGCCUGGGAACUUCCAUAUGCUGCAGGUCCAAAAAAAAAAAAAAAAAA